AUCCAGCUGACGAGUUGCAAAUAGGACGAAACGUGCGUUCAACUGGAU
rnacentral:hammerhead_ribozyme from 1 species